UACGAAGGGGGCUAGCGUUGUUCGGAAUUACUGGGCGUAAAGCGCGCGUAGGCGGUUUUGCAAGCCAGAGGUGAAAUGCCUGAGCUCAACUCAGGAAUGGCCUUUGGGACUGCGAGGCUUUGAGGACUGGAGAGGUGAGUGGAAUUCCCAGUGUAGAGGUGAAAUUCGUAGAUAUUGGGAAGAACACCCGUGGCGAAGGCGGCUCUCUGGGACGGUACUGACGCUGAGACGCGAAAGCGUGGGGAGCAAACAGG
rnacentral:rRNA from 1 species